CGCGACCUGGCGGCAUGGCUAAAACAUGCAAGUCGAACGCGAACGUCCCUUCGGGGGCUAUUAGAGUGGCGAAAGGGCGAGGAAUACGUUUCUACAUACCCUCAGGUCAGGGAUAGCCCAGGGAAACUUGGAGUAAUACCUGAUGUGGUCACCGGAUCAAAGGCUUCGGCCGCCAGGGGAGUGGGGAACGUCCUAUCAGGUUGUUGGUGAGGUAAAAGCUCACCAAGCCGUUGACGGGUAGCGGGUGUGAGAGCAUGACCCGCCGCAUCGGGACUGAGACACUGCCCGGACUCCUACGGGAGGCUGCAGUAACGAAUCUUCCGCAAUGCGCGAAAGCGUGACGGAGCAAUGCCGCGUGCAGGAUGAAGCUUCUCGGAGUGUAAACUGCUGUCAGGGUUUAGCAACACAAUGAGCAGACCCAAAGGAAGGGCCGGCUAACUUCGUGCCAGCAGCCGCGGUAAUACGAAGGGCCCGAGCGUUGCGCGGAAUCACUGGGCUUAAAGCGUACGUAGGCGGACGCGCAGGCGUUUUGUGAAAUCCCUCGGCUCAACCGAGGAACUGCUUGACGAACCGCGCGCCUUGAGGCAAGUAGGGGCUGUCGGAACGAUAGGUGGAGUGGUGAAAUGCGUUGAUAUCUAUCGGAACGCCGAAGGAGAAAUCAGGCAGCUGGGCUUGUCCUGACGCUGAGGUACGAAAGCGUGG
rnacentral:rRNA from 1 species